ensembl:lncRNA
AUGACUACUACAAAUUACAAAUUAUAUAUAAUUUUAUUUCAUAUAAAGGGAAAAUUAAAAGUGAGUUUAAUCCAAGCAGCUCUAAUGGCGCGGUGUUGCCAUUUAAACGUUAAUUACAAAAACAAAACGUUCGUUGUACUGUCUCUGGAAAAAAUCAACAGUGAUUGAUCAGCCUUUAUUUAUACAGUAUUGUAGACGUUAUUAUUACCUAGGCGAAGCAACAUUUGCUGAAAUAUAGGCUACAGUAAGAGCGCCUGCAUGGCUGUCCAUCAGAUGCCUGUCAAAGUUGAGUUCGUUACUAUAGCAACAGUAAAACUUUCAUGUCGUUAUAACGAGAAAACAAACUUUCGUUAUGUCGAGAUAACGAGAAAAAAUAAUCGUUAUAACGAGAAAACAAAAAGGAAAAAAAUUAUAAUGGAUGGCCGCUUAGAACUUCAGUAAAACACAGCCCAAAAAUUAGUUUUAGAACUUGAAUUAAGACUUGUUUUCAAAGAAAGUAUCUUGAAUUAAAUAUGGCAAAAAUUGGCUUAGGCCAAUUAGAUAUUCCCCCCUUAACUUAUUUUCAUCUUAUUUAUACUUAAAGGGAUAGUUCACCCAAAAUGAAAGUUUUGUCAUCAUUUACUCACCCUCAUGUUGUUCCAAACCUAUAUGCAUUUCUUUCUUAUGUUAAAAAUCAAAGAAGAUAUUUUGAAGAAUGCUGGUAAUCAAACAGUUGAUGGUUCCCAUUGACUUCCAUAGUAUUUCUUUCUCUACUAUGGAAGUCAAUCCGGACUAACAAUUGUUUGUGUUCAACAUAAGAAACACUUUUGAAAUGAAAUGAGGGUGAGUAAAUAAUGACAAAAUAUUUAUUUAUGGGUGAACUAUGCCUUUAAAAUGAGUGAUAAAAAAAUCUACCAGUGUAAUUAGACAAAAAAUCCUCUUAAUUUAUUAGUCAUUAGACAUAAAUUUAACUUGACAACAAAUCUCAUUUGCACUUGUUCAAAAAUGAUGCCUUUUAAUGCAACCUUUAAAAAGGUCAAGUAAAAAUUGUGCAAAAUAAACGAUUUUUGUGAGUAAAAAUAAACCCCCAUGUUUGUUGUAUGGAAAACAGAAUUUCUCCAUUUGUGUUUUACAAAGUAAAGAAAUUUUCCAUUUUAUCUUUAGGACAAAAGAGUAAUUUUUGGGUGAAUUAUUCCUUUUGUCUCACUUAACAUCACAAUACAUCAGGUCUGUGCACAUCCCUUUUCUUUUCUGCUUUUAUCUAUAAAAACACCUAGGUCAUAAUUACAUUUUACCUGCUGACAGGAGUAAAUUAAAAACUGGUUCAAAACUGGACAAAAUCUGCAGGAGUGAACUUUCCUGCGACGCAUGUUUUGAGAGAGGGUGCUAUCAGAGGCGGUGAGAGACACGCAGCCAAUUAGCGUGACUGUAGAUAAUAAUUUGAGGUCAUUUGAAUCUCUUGCUCAUUAAACCAGGUCCACCCACAGACAGAGCAGAUCCGCUACGAUAAACAGACAUUCACCUCUGCGAAAUCGAUUCAGCCUGCGCUUGAUAGAGAUGUUCAUUUAAUGGAUGUGAAAUUCGACUCGCCAGCUUUUUAAGCUUGACUCUGGGGUCAAAACAAAUAUCCGAAAGAAAGAAAAACGCAAUAAGAAUUAAAGCCAUUUCUGACAUAAAUACAGCCUCGGAGUUCUUAAGUUAUGAAUACAGGAGAAAGCUGAUUAAAGAUCCCCCCGUAAUAAAAACAAAGCUAAGCUAAAAUUGUUUUCAUAAGCCUUUGCUUUAAGGCGAUUAGCCGAAGUUUCAGUCUCUGAUUUUUUUUUUCCGCCUUUUGUUUCGGUGACAUCAGAUUUAGGGCAUCCGUCAUCCUGGACUGCUUCCUGUUGAGAAAGAUUAAUUGCGUCGCCCCAUCCGCGCGUGCACGAACUGCAUAAUCACCUCCGCUAAUGAGGGCUGCCAUUUACCGCCACAAUUACUGCUAUUUUCAAACCCAUUCAAACCUCACACCCAAAGGCCAAAGUUUUGGUCAGACUGGUUGCCAUGGUGAGUUUUUUUAAAAUUCCACUUUAAUUGAAUAUAUUAAUGUGGAUCUGACGGUUAUACACACAGGUUUGGGGGUACACGUGCAUAAAAGUACUAAAAAUAGUGCCAAUUAUGGAUCUAUGCUGGGCAGAAGAGGAUGGCUGGAAAAAAUGGCUCCCGUCGUGGUUUUAGACCGACUUUUGUGUUGCACGGUAAAUCAUGGUAUAUUACUCCUGCCACCACAUUAAUCUUUGAGGGGAAAAAUAGAGCCAGAAAUGUAUUUGGAAAUAAACUUCCUAUUUAUCACCCUACAGCAAAGCCUGCGGCUUCAGGGGGGCGGUCCAUGUGAACAACCUGAAACGACCUGAGACGGCCAAAUCAUUUUUUUUUCUUAUUGGAAAACGUUUCACGGCCACAACUAUCGUGGCUUUGCCAGCCAGUUCUGGUGCGGUAUGAUUGGUAAGGUCCAAUUCACAGCGUGAAUAAGCCUCUCUCUGGCUGAUUACAUGCUUUGAUGUAGUGUCGUGAACACUUUCCAGACUCACUUCUCCCUAGGACACACAAACGACAUCCAGACGUUUCAUUCAAAUUCAUGGUGCGUCGUCUCCAAGUUCCGCACAAUAAUUGAGGGGAAGUCAGGUGAAACAUGCCCAGGGCCAGAUUUGAAAUGUUACUGAGAAAUGACAGAUGGUAGCCAUCCUUUACCGUGGCGGCAUUUGCGAAUGGACCGCUUGGAUCUCUCCAGGGGUCCUUGAUUACCUUGGAGGCAUUUAAUAGGCAAACUGGUAAAGAUAAAGGCACCAUAUCUAGGUGCUAUAGACCCCUGUUAAUGUUAUUUGUUGAAAGAAUAUCAAUUUCUCACCUUAAACUAUAAUUAUAGCGAGACAUUGCUUCUAAAGCCGCUAUAAUAAACACAAAAAUGUACAUUCACCAAAAUAUAUCUGUAAUAAUAAUAGUAAUAAUAAUGUGUCUGUAGAGGAAUUUUUGGCAUCAACAGUUGCCUCCAGGCGUAUUUGCAUUGAAUAAGUCAAUAUUUAAACGUGUUAAAUGGUAAUCAAGAUUCAACAUUCAGCGUGUGUUGAGGCGUAUGCUUGCAAAAAAUACCCUAUGGAAUAUACAUAGAAUAGAAUAUAGAAUAUAUAUUCUAUUCUGUACUCUAGAAUAUAGAUUUUACAUUCAUUUAGCGGCCCCAAAACUACUUAUUUUCACAUAUUUGUAGCCACUUUUAAUGCAUAAGAUAACAACAUCUGAUAAUAUUAUAUUUGAUAAAAAUAUUAAAACAGGUUGCAUAAAGCAAGCAAAGGAUUUUAUCAGAACAAACAUUUUAGUAAAAAUAUGAACUAUCUAUUAACCUAUUAACUUUUUUAUAUUGUGCAAUCUAAGGUAAUGACUUUUUUAAAAGUGUACUAAUGCUUUUUGGGACCUCUAAAUGUGAAUAUAAAUUUUAAUAUAUUUAAAAUUAGAUUUUUAAAGUGCAACAGUACGUCCCUGCACCUUUGUACUUUCAACUGCUCUUUCGGUGUUUAAACUGUGAAAAUAAACAGAACGUCUUACAGGUAAGUACAUUAAAAUCAUGAACAGGGUUCUGAUAUCGCCUCUGUUUCUCAGCCCUGACAUCUGGACCGACAUCGAGGUCAUGUCCUGCAUCUGGUUCCCUUUGUGAGCUACUGAAACCUUGAGAAUCUUCCCAGUCCAGACAACAUCUCAAACCUCAGUUUCAUAGUCCUGUUGUGGUGGUCUCUCUUGCUCCUUUUUCUUCUUUUUCCUUCCGCAGAGGCCAUGAAGGCCACAGAAGCAGGCAAAGGUGAACUGAGGCAUAGUCUACCUAUCUCUGGAUCUCCACAAACCUGCAGAGAUGGAAAGACAGAAAGAGAAAUGUACGUUCCAGUCAAGUAAAUCAUGGAUACUGACAAAUCUCAGUGCUCUUUAAGUAAAAUUGAGAAGUAAAAUAAAGCAAUUCAGGUAACAGCGCAAAUUUAUAAAAAACAUUGAAUACAAUUUUGAUUAGUUAAAAUUACGAAAAUAAU